rnacentral:rRNA from 3 species
UGGGGAAUUUUGGACAAUGGGGGCAACCCUGAUCCAGCAAUGCCGCGUGAGUGAAGAAGGCCCUCGGGUUGUAAAGCUCUUUUGUCAGGGAAGAAACGGAGUUCUCUAAUAUAGGAUUCUAAUGACGGUACCUGAAGAAUAAGCACCGGCUAACUACGUGCCAGCAGCCGCGGUAAUACGUAGGGUGCAAGCGUUAAUCGGAAUUACUGGGCGUAAAGCGUGCGCAGGCGGUUUUGUAAGUCUGAUGUGAAAUCCCCGGGCUCAACCUGGGAACUGCAUUGGAGACUGCAAGGCUAGAGUGUGUCAGAGGGGGGUAGAAUUCCACGUGUAGCAGUGAAAUGCGUAGAGAUGUGGAGGAAUACCGAUGGCGAAGGCAGCCCCCUGGGAUAACACUGACGCUCAUGCACGAAAGCGUGGGGAGCAAACAGG